rnacentral:rRNA from 1 species
GACGUAGGGCGCAAGCGUUGUCCGGAUUUAUUGGGCGUAAAGAGCUCGUAGGCGGCUUGUUGCGUCGACCGUGAAAACCCACGGCUCAACUGUGGGCUUGCAUUCGAUACGGGCAGGCUAGAGUUCGGUAGGGGAGACUGGAAUUCCUGGUGUAGCGGUGGAAUGCGUAGAGAUCCGGAGGAAGACCGGUGGCGAAGGCGGCCUGCUGGGCAGUUAC